GCGAGACGCCUCUGGAAGGACCGGCCCAGGGCGGGGAUCACGUGAGGUGUAAUGGCAUCUCGGCGCCCGGGAGACCCGGCCUGGGGCUCCAGUGAUUGUAACAGGGACCUGUAACGGAUCAUGGGCUACGCAGAGUUCAGAUCCAGUACAUUUUAACCGCCUGCUGAAUACCAUGGGUAUUACAGCAUAGAGACACUAGAUUCUACUACCUUUCUUGGGGGAGUAUUGAUUUCAUUCCACCAGGCAGGUAGGAUUUCCCUCCUCCUUUCCAGCUACAGCCCUGAGCUCCGCCAUGGGAUGAGACCUCCACCCAGUCAGACUGGCCCUCUCCCUGGGUGGCAGUCACCAGGCCCAGCAGACUGGAAACCGCACGCAACCCUCCCCGCAGAGACGGGGUCCUUAAAAGGAUCUGACUUGGUCCCUGCCUCAUCUGGGCCACGCCCCAGGCCUCCGAUGAGGGCUUUAUGCCGUUUUUAUUCCAUUUGUGAUCGUUUCCUUUGGGAAUUGCAGUUGUGUAUGAAGUACUCCCUAAUUUUAGUUUGAAUAGCGGCUUUCACAAGUCCUCCUUAGGUCUUUAGAAUUCUUGUCGUUUCGGGGGUUUUAUUCUUUGGGUUAGCAGACUAAAGAGUUAGUCUUUAAAGAAACUAGCUAUAACUUUGUUUUCGACUAGACCAAAGAAUUUUAAUGAUGCAACCAAACCCUGAUACAUGCACACAUAGAUAGAUGAUAGAUUGAUUGACUGAUUGAUUUCCCAUGGCUUCACAUUUGAGAAUAUUGACGGCCUUACUUAAAGAUUUAGCUUUAAAAACCCACUCACUUUAUGAAUGAAAAAAUUACAUACAGACUUCUAAAAGUCAAGAGCUUAUAUAAACACCAAUUUAUUUAUUCCAUUAAUACCCCUGGGUGAAAAAUAGUAUUUCCCUAUUGUAUCUCUAAGUACAAAAUGCAAAAAAUUAAGGCCCAUUACCAGGCUGCAAAUGAAAUUCUUAUUCCAUAUUCCUGUUGCUUAAUUAUUAAAUGAGCAUAACUUCUCUGGAAAUGCUUCAUGGGACUUUUAUAUUUUCAUAAAAUGCAAUUUAGCUUGCUUGUUAUUUAUA